rnacentral:rRNA from 1 species
UACGUAGGGUCCAAGCGUUAUCCGGAAUUACUGGGCGUAAAGCGUACGUAGGCGGCGCGUUAAGUGAUAUGCGAAAUCCAGCGGCUCAACCGUUUGGACUGUAUAUCAUACUGACGUGCUAGAGGAUGGCAGAGGCAAGUGGAAUUGGUAGUGUAGCAGUGAAAUGCGCAGAUAUCAGGAGGAACACCAAUUGCGAAGGCAGCUCGCUGGAACGUAACUGACGCUGAGACGCGAAAGCGUGGGUAGCAAACAGG